rnacentral:rRNA from 1 species
GAUGAACGCUGGCGGCGUGCCUAAUACAUGCAAGUCGAGCGAACGGACGAGAAGCUUGCUUCUCUGAUGUUAGCGGCGGACGGGUGAGUAACACGUGGAUAACCUACCUAUAAGACUGGGAUAACUUCGGGAAACCGGAGCUAAUACCGGAUAAUAUUUUGAACCGCAUGGUUCAAAAGUGAAAGACGGUCUUGCUGUCACUUAUAGAUGGAUCCGCGCUGCAUUAGCUAGUUGGUAAGGUAACGGCUUACCAAGGCAACGAUGCAUAGCCGACCUGAGAGGGUGAUCGGCCACACUGGAACUGAGACACGGUCCAGACUCCUACGGGAGGCAGCAGUAGGGAAUCUUCCGCACUGGGCGAAAGCCUGACGGAGCAACGCCGCGUGAGUGAUGAAGGUCUUCGGAUCGUAAAACUCUGUUAUUAGGGAAGAACAUAUGUGUAAGUAACUGUGCACAUCUUGACGGUACCCAAUCAGAAAGCCACGGCUAACUACGUG